UACGGGGGGGGCAAGCGUUGUUCGGAAUUACUGGGCGUAAAGGGCUCGUAGGUGGCCAACUAAGUCGGACGUGAAAUCCCUCAGCUUAACUGGGGAACUGCGUCCGAUACUGGAUGGCUUGAGGUUGGGAGAGGGAUGCGGAAUUCCAGGUGUAGCGGUGAAAUGCGUAGAUAUCUGGAGGAACACCGGUGGCGAAGGCGGCAUCCUGGACCAAUUCUGACGCUGAGGAGCGAAAGCCAGGGGAGCAAACGGG
rnacentral:rRNA from 1 species